rnacentral:rRNA from 1 species
GACGAACGCUGGCGGCGUGCUUAACACAUGCAAGUCGAACGGAAAGGCCCUGCUUUUGUGGGGUGCUCGUGUGGCGAACGGGUGAGUAACACGUGAGUAACCUGCCCUUGACUUUGGGAUAACUUCAGGAAACUGCGGCUAAUACCGGAUAGGAGCUCCUGCUGCAUGGUGGGGGUUGGAAAGUUUCGGCGGUUGGGUCUGGACUCGCGGCUUAUCAGCUUGUUGGUGGGGUAGUGGCUUACCAAGGCUUUGACGGGUAGCCGGCCUGAGAGGGUGACCGGGCACAUGGGUACUGAGGUACGGCCCAGACUCCAACGGGAGGCAGCAGUGGGGAAUAUUGCACAAUGGGCGGAAGCCUGAUGCAGCAACGCCGCGUGCGGGAUGACGGCCUUCGGGUUGUAAACCGCUUUCGCCUGUGACGAAGCGUGAGUGACGGUAAUGGGUAAAGAAGCACCGGCUAACUACGUG